rnacentral:rRNA from 1 species
UAAGUAAGCGGAGGAUAAGAAACUAAAUAGGAUUCCUUCAGUAAUGGCGAAUGAACAGGGAUAAGCUCAGUAUGGAAAUUGGGGCCUGUGGCCUUGAAUUGUAGUCUGGAGAUGUACUACCAACUGGGGCGCAGAUGUAAGCCUCUUGGAAAAGAGCAUCAAUGAGGGUGAGAGUCCCGCUUGGCAUCUGCAGUCCCCAGUGCAUGGUGUACCUUCUAAGAGUCACGUUCCUCGGGAUUGGAGCGCUAAUUGGGUGGUAAAUUUCAUCUAAAGCUAAAUAUGGCUUCGAGACCGAUAGUAAACAAGUACCAUGAGGGAAAGGUGAAAAGGACUUUGAAAAGAGAGUUAAAAGUGCCUGAAAUUGCUGAAAGGGAAGCGAAUGGAACCAGCUUAACUUGGUAAGAUUGCCGUGUGUCAGUGUGAUUGCUUGCUGCCUCAAUGUAAGUGUGGCAGUAAGUCUUGAGCAGGACAUGUGUGGUGCUUCUUGCCUUGUGUGUCACUGUCGGUUCGCGACUGAGGAAAACUUCAGGGACAUGGUAGCCUGUCUCCGGGUGGGUGAAUGUGUCUGCUGGAACUCAUUUGUGGACUGCCUGCUGAUUGAAUGGUUCCAUCCG